UGUGUCUUUUUCUUUGUUUUUUUUCCUACUUCCUCUGAAGUUCAGAGGCUUCCUAGUCUGCAGUGAUGGUCAUUUGGGGAACUCCUUAUAUGUAAAUAAAGGCUACGGCGUUAUGUGCUGAUGUAUUGAAAGGCUGAUUUCUGUUUUGACUGUUGUCAUGUGGGCUCGCAAAGCAUAAGCCAUCCAGGAGGGUUCAUCGCGGAGAUGGGAAGAAAGAUUCACUAGCGUAUCCUAAACUGGGAGUAGUUAGUUUGGACCUUUGAGUGGAUCAGUGUCUGCAGUACCUGCUGAUCCUGCCUUUGGGCAGGGAGCAGGAAAGGAGGCUAAGGGGGAAAGAAAAUGAAAGACCACCUUUUCAGACCCCUUCUAGGCAUAAGGCUGUGCUACGAGGAAGCUGUUGACCACGAAGGAAAGUGUAGAGGAAGACCUGUUCUUGGAUGGAAAGCAUGGGGUCGGCUGGCUCAGGAGUACCAGCACUGUGACCAAGCCUGAGGCCCCAGUGAUGGCCUCUUGCUGAGCUUGCAAACGCCAUCCGAGAGUGUGGCACGGUCGUGGGGCCAAGACCACCAGCACGUCUCCUCUCUGGAGCUGGAGCCAGCGUCUGGGUGUUUGUGCCCAUCACCACUGCCGUCCCGAUCCACGGAGGAAUGGACAAAGGCGCCGCUUUGAGACCCGCUUCUCUGCCGCAGGGAGCACGUUAGUAAGACUGCGGAUCAGCAGUCUGGUAUUCAGAAGCAUCAUCGUAUUUUCCCCCAGCUCCGGGAAGCUAGCAGUGGAUCUCUCUGUUCCCAGAUAUAGAAGUGCUGGAAGACAUUUGGCCGGCCUUGUUCAGAGCUGGGCCCUUGCUCACGCACGAGGUUCAUGAACCUUCGCAGCUCUCUAGGUGAACUUCGCCUGACUUUCCCAUGUACAACCGAAUCCCAGCCCAGAUCCCAACCUGCUCACGACACGCAGGUGCCGAACCUUGGUCUUCAGAGAGCACUGAUGCCCCCCAAAAAGCGCUGGAGCCCAAGACUCCUCCGUCUCUCCCUGAGACCUGGUUUGCUCUCAGGUCUCUAAAAACAAACAUCUCUGGUAAGGAGACGCAGAGCCCGGCUGCCGAGGUGCGGUGGGCCAGGAGACGUGACGGAGCACUUCUGGCUCAUCUGUCCGUGCUCGUCAGCUUCUCCUUGGCGGCUCCAGCUCUCUCUCCAGGUUGCCGCGUGGGGAAUUAUGGGCAGAGAUGGCGUCUUCCAGUGAGAAUUUCAGCCGGGAAAGCUGACAGCGCAGCAAAGCUUAAGAGACCUCCAUGACCCCAGACAAGAGGAAGGUUGCGUUCACUGCCUGCGUGCUGCUCACUGCAUCGGAAACCAGACUUGCCCGGAGACGCCGAAAUAACUGUGUAAUACUUGCGCAUCAGACACCUCCGUUGCAAGGGACCUCUCUUGGCCCGAACCAAACUCGGCAAAGAGGGCUGAAAUGCUGGAUUAGGCUGCCGUCACUGUGAUUUAGUACGUUUGGGUCUGUGCGAGGCCGUUAGCGAUGCAGGCGUAAUGGAAGAGCAUCUUCUGGGUCUCUCUGCGGCAUGAAGGCACAAAACGGCUACGCGCAGGGGACUGAACGCAUAGAUGGGGUAGGAGUGAAAACCCUGCAUCGGAAACCUGAUCCUAAGAGUGACUUAUCCCACUGGGAAAUGGAGAUGGAGAGCCAAGCACUCUAUUUUAGGCAGGGAGUAAUCUCGGUGAGCUGCAAAAAUUCAGUCAUUUCAAUUACAAAGGAAUUCAAGAAAACGAGAAGCUGUUCGUGAUGCUUUCGUAAGCAAAAAGAGGCAUUGGAAGAGGUAGAAAGAACGGAGGAGACCUGGGUACCGGGCUGGGAACAGGAAGUCUUGGCGUGCUCCCUGACUCUGCCACAGGUUCUCACGUGGCUUCUCAAUUUGAUUUCAUCAAUCGACCCCACGACCCGUUUUCCCAUCUUCCUUAAUUGAGGAGUCAAAUCACCAGGGACAGAGUUGUGUCGUACCAUCUCCCGAAGAGCCUGACGCUGGGGCUUUUACCGCGGUCAGGGCUUUCGGAGCCUCCCCACGCCGCACACAAAUCAUUCAUGGGGACUGACUUAGAGCCGCAGAGCUAGGAGGUGGGGCAGGACUGCAAAGCCAAGGGCUUUCUGCCUCCACGCCGUGCCUGGUGUUUUCCUUAAACUCCCCUUUGGCCCGGGAGGAGCGGUGUUCCCGCUGCACGUUCUCCGUCGUGCUCAGGAUUGCGUGUGUUUCCGCCGCAUCUUCCCCGCUCCCUCCUCCCUUACCCGGCCGAUCCGCUGGAUCCCUCUUUCAGUCCCUUUUCACGUGACCGCAGAUUUUUUUAGAUUGCAGACGCCGGGAAGCGGGGGCCCUGCCUUGGCUUCUGGCAGAGCUUAGCGCCGAGAGCCCCGGUCCCGGAUGAGACCUCCAGGCACGGCGGUAAUGCGAGCACCGAUCUGAUCGGCCCUCGCCAGCUGGGACGUCCCUGGUUUGUGGUAACUCCCUUCUCUGCGAGGAGCUUUCCUCUCGUGCCCCGCUGCUCGUGAGCCAAGGGAAUGGUGUUCUCCGUUAAGGAAAAGCCGCAGCCCUCUGGGUCUAAGAAGAACCGCAUAGAAAUACCACCCAACCUGAGGCGUUUCCAGAUCCCUUUUCCUUUUGGUUGUGAUGAUAAAUCUUGCUUGUUUCUUUUCUGUUGGAGAACAAAUAAAAGAAGGUCUCCCAAGAGCUGAAGCCUUCCUGUGGUCUUCAAAGCAAAUCAUUUUCCCCAUAGAGGUAAGUGAAAUAUUGCCAGCUUCUUCACAAGUGUUGUAAAUAACCCAGAUAUAUACCAAAAAAUGCGGCUUCAGGGAGUAGCACGCCCUGGCUGUUUGCCCAGUCCCUCUCGGGCUCUGUGGUCCCGUUGCAUUUUUACAUCACCGAUAGCUUCGGGAUGGGCAACCCUUCGGGAGGGAGAUCUGAAUGGAGGCAUUGCGCCGUGCCUAUUUGCUCGCAGGGAGCAAGAGCCUUUCCCGGGGUCAGUGGCUGCAGUCCCGGCUGGCCUUUCUCACUCCUCGUCGUAAUUAUCAUCUAAAUACGUGUCCUCUAGGCUCCAAGGUGGCCAGGUAAGACGGAGGUAAGUGUCUGCCCCGUCCUGGAUCAAUAUCCUUGUGCCGUGGAGGCUGGCCAAAGCCCAGGAGGAAUAUGCCCACAUGGGAAAAGUGACCCGUCUCACAGAAUACGAUAUGAAAGCAACUCACUGGAGAAAGGUCGUGCUGAGGUGACCGAGGGGAACGAGAUUUCGCACCAGUUCGGGUGCCCCGCACAUGUAGUUGGCUGAGCCCUGGCUUUCUGCCCGCUCCAGCAGUGCACUGCGUCUGGCCAGUGCAGGCCUGGAGGUCCGAGUGUCCCCUCCUUCGUCUUCCUCAUGCAGGACACAGUGGCUGUGGUCUGCUGCUGACCAAAACAGCAGGCCCGUGACUUGGCUGCUGCUCACAGAAUUGCUGUGAUUUUAGUGACACACAAAGACCUGGCCAAAUGGGCUCCAAGGCUGGCACGGAGGAAGGAUUCGGGAUUCAUUUCGUUCACACAAGGUCUGGUCCUGCAGCUUAACUUCCACCCGGCGUCCAGCAGUGCUCUGGGCAUGGGCAGACACUUCCAGCCGGAGAAAAGGAGGAAAACAAGGAAACAUCUUAGUAUCCCAACCUCCUUCAGGUGCCGUGCACCUUCUUGGCAUCUGGGCCUUGGGUUUAGCGAGAUGUAAUUAAGCGGUGUCCCUCUCCGUCCGCGUCUAGGACAGACUGCAGCAAGACUCAAAUAGUAUCCGAAUGUGCCCAGACAGGGCUGGCAUUUUUCCUCAAACUCCUCUGGACCGGUGUGGGAAGGCGACCCAGGCUGAGUGCUUCCCCAGGACAGUCUGAGGAUGUUAUUCUCCGCGGAGAAGGUGGAGAACUGGACCCUCUGAGCAGGAGAUGUUGUAAUUGUUUCAGUACUUGGAGACCCUCCAAAAGACGUAGUUCAGUGUCAGGUGAUAAUAAUCUAUAAACACUUUUAUGGGCCUUAUAUCUAUCUAUAUAGAUUGAUAUAAGUAGACUUUUUUAGGCUACAGAAGCUGGAACGGAGGCAGCAGCUUCGGCGAAGACGCAGUGGUGUGAGCCUGGCGUGACCUGGUGCUGACCAGGCUCUCUGGCUUCGCGGCAGAGAGUUGUCAUCAAGGGAAGAUUAAAAGUCACAUCAUUAGGGAAAAGACAAAACUGAUUAUGAUUUUUAAAAUGGGCCAGUCAGAAAGCCGAUCGGCCCAGAGCUGCGGUGCGCGGGCUGAAAAUACAGUCGCAGAGAAAAUGAAUGAGAAUUAGUUUUCUGUUUAAGAGAUACGUGUAAUUAAUUAGAAGGCAGCUAGGAGCUGCAUCACAAGCCUUUCUUAGCUGCAGGAAAAGAAGAUGAUUAGGAGCUCUCGUAAUGGAAUUAGCAAAGAUUUUUCUGCCAGAAAGUUAUUACUGGGGAAGAUGUAAACUUAAUUUUAGAGUGAGGCAGGCUCAGAGAGGGAGCAAGUUGUCAAUUUAUGCAGGUGCAACAGGAAAACUGACAGGAGUCUCAUUUAGACUUUUUCCCCCAAACUAGAAUUGUUUUCCCUAAAAAAAUUUAUUUAGAGAGAGAUGCAUUUUUCAAUGGAAAAGAAAUAUAUCUCCCCGGCGCUGUUGUGAGUGCCCCCAGUGAAAUGCAAGAAGCCGGCCGGGCGGGCAGCGCUGCCGCGUAUCCGGACUUCCGCAGGGCGACAGGGACAGGGAGCGGGCCGGCGUCGGCGGUGGCGGUGGAUAAGCGCCCGGCCAAGCACCCGGAGGGGCUCGGGAGCGCUUAAGGCAGCCAGGCAGCGCCUGGCACAGCUCUGCUUUGCGCCCGGGCUCGCUGGGCGAGCUCGCACGGCGCUGGCUCCCUCCCGGGGUGCGGACGGGCUGCAGGCGCUGCUGAGCUGGGCUGCAGGAACGGCCGCGGGGCCAAAGCGGGCAGCUCCCCGGUGCUGCGCGUUGCGGAGCUGGGCAAAAUGCGCGCGAGGCCCCUUCCCGGCGGCAGCUCGGCUUCUCCCAGCAGCAGCGGCUGGGACGGACAGGGUACAAGCCAGGAGCAGGACUCGCGAAGCUCCCGGUGCCACUUGUCUUGGUUGCUGCUUUGAAGUCCUCGUGCAUGAAGUGGCUCUGACACGUGCAGAGCCCGGCUGUAGCUGCUUGACUUUUGUUUGGCUCUUUCGCAUCCCUCUCAGUGCACAAAAUAAACCGAGUUUGCCCUGGC